AGUCAUAAAGCCAUGGCAGAGGUUUGUAAAUACUGCAGGGUACCUCCGGACCUCGUGACCAGCACUCUGAGCUUUACAAGGUAAUGGCCUUAUAUGGCAUGGGUGCAAUAAAAGCUUGACCGGAUGAGGUAACGUGAGACAUUGGAAUGCAGCCAUGCGGCUGGACAGAACAAAGGAUAAUAAAAAAGUGAUCGGAGAGGAGAAGAGGUCUCAAUGAGCUGCUCUCUCUCUUACUAUGGAAUAUUACUCGCUCUCUAUGUCUUUAUUUUAUACUAAAGAAGUGCCACUUGUAAGGCUGGCUCCGACAAGUGGUGCCCCGUGUGAGGCUGAAUAAAAGAAUACGACUGAGGUUUUUAAAAGAGAGCUAAGAAGCGAUUUAAAGCAAACAGUCUGAGGCAGACUAAGAGGAUUCUAACAGAAACUGUGAGAGGAUUUUUGAUCCAAGCAGUGAAUAUCAUCGGCUCACUACGUCCGGCAAGGAUUGCAAAGCGCUUUACAUCUUUAAAAAAAGAUCCCGGCUUUACUUCAGCACAGAGAGUUCCCUUAUUAUGUUGCACAUCUUCGCUCCCACACAUCGCACCCAGGGUAUUUAGCAGAAGGCAAUGCACGAGCAGAUGCAGCAUUGAGGGACAUUUCUGCCUUUUCUCUCUUUUCUGAUCCUGUACUAUGUCAUAACACCUUUCAUCUCCCUGCGAAAGCAUUGGCUAAGCAGUUUUCUAUUCCUUUGGCCCAAGCUAAGGAUAUUGUGUCCCAAGGUGCUUCCUGUUCCCAAGGAUGCCGUGCGGCCAUGGCGAGCAUCUUCAACCACGGAAGCGCCUUCCUAACCAUUUGCCUUGCCAUCUCUUGCUGCACUGUUAUACAAGGAAGAGAAGCAGACGAUCCAGUCCAGUUGAAACCACCAUAUUUCACCUUAUCGGCUGGCAAGCAGCUGUCGCCUGAAUCCUACUCUGGCUGGCAGUAUCCACGGCUCAGCCACUCUCGAACUAGAAGAACAGUGUUGUUGAAUAAGACUUUUAGGGGAGAAAAUUAUCAUAAGAUAUAGAGGGAUAAUAUUUUUGUACAAGAUAUGAUUAAGUUUACUAGUUUAUUGCAUGCUUCUAAAUGUUGGUUAUGUAUGCACAUGCCACCCUUUGCCAGUCAUUCAGGCAUAAUGCUUCAUGGCGUGCCUGUCAAUGGAUCUUUUCAGUUUACUAAUAUUAUAUCCCCUAAGCAAACUUUUUGGUCUCCAGUACAAUUGACCCUCCAUGAGCCUGCCCCCAUUUGUUUUCGAAUUAAAGAGGGGAAAGAAUCAUGGGGCAUAUAUCCAAACUGUCAAUAUACUUUGAAAUUCAUGUUUAAUAGCUCUUGUUCUCUUACAGCGAUACCAGUGCAUGGUUAUAAACCAGAAAGGAAGCCUACCAUGCAGCUUGGAAUCAGAAUUCUUAUAUUCUUGGCUUCCGGAUGGAAGUUGGCUUUGACAUUUAUUGAUUUUAGUGAUUAUUAUAGUAGUUAUUUGCAUUAUUUUGUGUUGCUAUAUACAAUGUAUUCCUUCCUUAAUUUCUGUAUGUACUGCAUGGUUCUCCAGUCCGCGGCCCGCUUCCGGUCUCACAAGAGUCGCCUAUCGCUCUCGACAUAACCAUUGGUACUGAUAUAUAUGGCUCUUAUUAAAAUAUAAAGAAAGAGGGCAUGUGGGAGUCAUAAAGCCAUGGCAGAGGUUUGUAAAUACUGCAGGGUACCUCCGGACCUCGUGACCAGCACUCUGAGCUUUACAAGGUAAUGGCCUUAUAUGGCAUGGGUGCAAUAAAAGCUUGACCGGAUGAGGUAACGUGAGACAUUGGAAUGCAGCCAUGCGGCUGGACAGAACAAAGGAUAAUAAAAAAGUGAUCGGAGAGGAGAAGAGGUCUCAAUGAGCUGCUCUCUCUCUUACUAUGGAAUAUUA